UACGUAGGGAGCAAGCGUUGUCCGGAAUCAUUGGGCGUAAAGAGCUCGUAGGCGGCUUGGUAAGUCGGAUGUGAAACCUCCAGGCUCAACCUGGAGUCGCCAUCCGAUACUGCCAUAGCUAGAGUCCGGUAGGGGCCCACGGAACUCCUGGUGUAGCGGUGAAAUGCGCAGAUAUCAGGAAGAACACCGGUGGCGAAGGCGGUGGGCUGGGCCGGUACUGACGCUGAGGAGCGAAAGCGUGGGGAGCGAACAGG
rnacentral:rRNA from 1 species